rnacentral:rRNA from 1 species
CACGUAGGCACCAAGCGUUGUCCGGAUUUAUUGGGCGUAAAGAGCUCGUAGGCGGUUCGGUUAGUCGGGUGUGAAAACUUUGGGCUCAACCCAAAGCGUGCACUCGAUACUGCCGUGACUAGAGUUCGGUAGGGGAGUGGGGAAUUCCUAGUGUAGCGGUGAAAUGACGCAGAUAUUAGGAGGAACACCGGUGGCGAAGGCGGCGACCUGGUCGAGACUGACGCUGAGGCGCGAAGCG